UACACAAUUUAUCAGCACUAUCAAAUAAAUGGUUUUCAAUCCAUUGAAAGGAAGUCAUGUUUGUUGCAAUAUAUUGUUUGUGGUAGACACUGGGAAAAAACCAACUAUUGAAUGUGUAUUUAUUUGUCUCCUGGUACAAAACUGAUGGAAGAGCAGCCAUGAUGAAGCAGUAAAAAGGUUCUUGGAUACCUUGCUUCAAUAACUCUGGUUGGACAAGAAAAGACCUGGCUAAGGAUAGUAGAGGGUCAAAUGAUU